rnacentral:lncRNA from 1 species
CUGACAUCAGCCUGUACUGCCUGAUAUAACACUGUGAUAACACUGACAUCAGCCUGUACUGCCUGAUAUAACACCAUAACACUGACAUCAGCCUGUACUGCCUGAUAUAACACCAUGAUAACACUGACAUCAGCCUGUACUGCCUGAUAUAACACCAUAACACUGACAUCAGCCUGUACUGCCUGAUAUAACACCACGAUAACUUGAAGCUCAUAGAGCCACGUCGUGGUUGGGGUGGAAAAGGGUCCUGGAAGGUCACGGAGCCGUGGCUGUGCGCCCCACACACACCCACCCACCUACGGAGGUGGCGCCGGGUUCUCACGCCUUCCUUUGGAUAAAUAUUUUCGUCUUUUUUAACCGAAAUCGCCUAUUUUUCCGUGCGGUUCGGGGCCCUUUAAGGGCCACGCCCACACGGCUCAGGCCCCGCCCCUCUGUCCUCCCUCAACCAAUCAUAGCGCAGCGGGUGUGCGCGCCGGGAGCAUGCGCACUACUCGCGUUCUACGCCGGCCUGACUACAGUCGGCACCCGUAGCGUGUGACGUCUUUUGUCCGCGCCGCGCUGUGAUGUCAUAACCGCGCGCCGCGGGCGUGAUUGAAACGGAGAUGCAGCGGGCGGUGAGGGUCGGGCUGCGGCCCACGCUGCGGUGGUUCCGCGCCGCCCCCCCGGCGUUGGCGGCGGACAAAGAGGCGCUGCUGAAGCUGCGGAAGAGCACUGGGCUGCCGUUCACGAAGUGCCAGGAGGCGCUGCGGCAGUGCGGGGGGGACGUGGGGCAGGUG